UUGUGAAAGCUUCCACUUAAGCAGGAAAAUAAUUACUGGGCAAUAAUGUAAAGCCUGGAACUCCUCACUACUCCAGACAUUUGAAUUGAGAAAGCUUUCUGGAUGGGAAGCAAAACGUCUUCAAACUUUGGAACAAAAAUCCAGUUGUUGGGGUUUCUUUUGGGGGGGGGGGGUUAUAUUCAGCACCAAUGUUCCUCCUAAUUCUUCAUGUCUCUGAGUAAACACACAAACUCCCUGAGUAUUCACCUGACCUCUGUGAGCAACAUCACAUGUUCACACUGAGGCUACAUUACGCCUGUCCAACACCUGAGAUUAUAACAAGUUACAUGGUUUACUAAAAGAAUCAAAUUACAGCAAUAAUCUCUUUUAGAUUACCUAGUUUAGAAACAAUGAAUUUAGCCUGAUUCCAUGAAAAAGACAACAGUAGACUCUCACUAUUGGACUGUAAUGUAGCCAUGGGGAAUGGUGAAAGCAUUUCUGCUGGAAUGUCAGUCCUUUUUGUGAUACUUUGUGUUUCUAUACACUGAGGAUGUGGUUGGUAUGGCUUUGUCCAGUGAAUAAGAUCUGAACUAAAGCAUGCUGGAUCCCUUCCCUUCCAUUGCUGGCAGUAAGGUCAUCAUGGUCUGCUCCAUCCUCCUUCCCUGUGUCGCAUCUAUACACAAGGAAACAUUUGUGACUCCAUGUCCCAGCAGGCUUUGCACCUGCCUUUCUCUUCUGUGCACAGGCUCCAGCAGUCUUAGCUCCUCCCACGCAGUAUAAAGAGAGUGGAGCUCAAACCAUGCUCUUCUUUAGCCGCUGAUUUCUGAGAGCACAUUCUGACUGCUUUUGAGACACUUCCUGGCAAAUCCUCCUCCCCCACCUCACUGGAAGCCAUCAAUGCACGGUCUUGCAGUCUUUGGCUCUAUAAUUACUGCCAACACAACAUGGAUACCAGAUUGAAUGCUCCUGUAAGAAUGCUAAGCUCUGAUCAAGAUGUCUUUCUCUGGACCCAGGACAUUGUGACAGUGGCUGAGGUUUGUUUUGUGUCAGACGUUGUUUGUCCGGCUCUUUCUCCACAGGUUGGUGAGGUGUCCUGAUUGCAGCAGUAUCAUCAGUUACAUUUAUUUUAGUCUUCCUCAAAUUGUUGCCAUACACAAAAUUAGUCUCUUUUGCUCAGCAAACAACUUCUUUGACUUUUGUUUCUGCUGUGAUAUGCUCCGUCAGCUGUGACGUCUUACAGAACUUUAUUUGGUCCUAAAUUAGGUUUAAUCCACUAAUCAAGUUGCUGAAACAUGAAUAAUUAGUGGGAAUCAGAUUAACUCACAUUUAAUUCAGUGUCAAAGAUGUGGGAGUGAAUAUUCAGCCAUUAUGUUUUCAUUUCAGUCACAAAACAGUUAAAACAUUUUCCUUUGUUAUUGUGCUUUUUGUGUAGGAAAAUAGAAAAUUAUAAUCCAGUCAGUUUUAGAAUAAACCUGUUAGCACCAAAAUGUGGAAAAUGGAAAGGGUUGUCUAUAUUUUCUGUGCUGCUGCUCUUUAUGCAGAAAAUGGAUCCACAGACAACUUAAAUCUAUUUAUUAACUGGUGGUCCAUGAAAAGCAAAAUGCAAACAUUUUUCUGUAAUGAGAGGAAAGGUGGAAUCUGAGCCAAGUAGCUUUGGUAUCAAAACUAGAUUUUAUUGGUUUGACAAAAGAUUUUUCUGUAGAAAACAAAUGACAAUAGUUAAAAUAAGGCACCCUGGAAACAUGAAGUUCUUUUUUCCUUGCUCUUCUUUUAGGGGCACGCUUUGAAGGUUGUGCUGGAAACAAAGAAAGCCAAUCUUUCUAUUUCAAUCAGGUCUAACUGUGGCAGGAUCCAAAGAGCCUGAAAGCUUGCCAUACCUCCACCCUCAGCAGACUUCAGCUCCUUGGCCUCCUGGAUUUGAGCAACAAGACUUUGGAGCCUUUGUGACGCAGCCGUUCUGCGCUCCUCCAAAACACUCCUUUGUUCUCUUGAAGAUGAGUUCAGACUUUCAGGAUGAAAGCUGAAGACGUCUCCCUCUGCUGCUGUUCCUGCAUCCGUCUCUAAGGCUCCAAGCCCACUUCCUGCUGCUGGUUCUGCCCGUACGCUCUGUGUUCCCUCAUCAUGUUCAGGUUCCUCUAGUUGGCUCAACUAACCUCCUUCACUCUGCUGAAGACUAACAAAACUCACUUUUUACCUGUUUUAUUUUCUAGGAUGAAAUGUGACUCUGCAUGCCGUGCUGGCCUUUAAAUGUUUACCUCUGAGGUUCUGGACUAGUCCAAAAAGAAAACCUAUUUCUAUUUAUGUAAACAUGAAGUAAUAUACUGAGGAAAAAUAAAGUCUUUUUCUGUAAGAA